GUACUUUCUUUGGCAGCACACAUACUAAAAUUGCAAUGAUACAAAUAAAGUUAGCAUGGUACCUGGGUAAAGAUAAUAGAAAAAUGCAUGAAGAUUCCAUAUUUUUU